GGGGAAGGUGGUUCAUUGUUGUCUUUGAGGUAAAAUGUCAUUUUCUGGGCACAUUUUGUGUAGGAAAUAAUAUAUAACUUGCUUGCAGGAGUUUGUGAUUGCUAAACAGAUUCCAUUUCUCAACACUUAGGUGGAGAACUAGCACUCCACAAAUAUAUCACAAUGGACUCAUUAAUCAAAAGAAAUAAAUGACACCUUGCACUGUCAAGAAGAUGGAGCAAUGCUUUGAAUUUUAAUGGCAUACCACAGAUCACUUUCAAGCAGUCAAUGAAUUUUGAACAUAAAACAUGAAGCACAUUCAGAAAGUAACUGUAAAUUUCAUGGCUAACUCGUUCAUUACUUUUGUACGUGAAUUAAAUCAUAUGAGAAAAUUUUAGUGUCUUGUCGAAAAACAGAAAGACCAUUGCUCAGGCAUUGUCUCAUUGCAGAAAAUUUUAGUAUCUUGUUGAAAAACAGAAAGACCAUUGCUU
rnacentral:misc_RNA from 1 species